AGUGAACGCUGGCGGCAUGCCUAACACAUGCAAGUCGAACGGGAGCAUAGUAAGAGCUGGCUCUUACGUGCGUCGAGUGGCGGACGGUGGAGUAAGACAUCGGAAUCUACUUUGUCGUGGGGGAUAACGUCGGGAAACGUACUCUGAUACCACAUACGACCUACGUGUGAAAGCAGGCGAUGUUCGGACCUUGCGCUAGGGAAUGAGCCGAUAUCGGAUUCGGUAGAUGGCGGGGUAAAGGCGCACCAAAGCUACGAUGCGUAGCUGGUCUGAAAGGAACAUCAGACACACUGGAAGUGAGACACGGUACACACACUUACGGGGGGACGCAGUGGGGACUAUUGCACGAUGGGGCAAUGGCUGAUACAGCAAUAUCGCGUGAAUGCAGAAGGACUUCUGGUGCUAGAGUGAUUUUGUUCGGAAAGAAGAGCAGCACGUUAACCCCCCACUGUUAUGACGGUACCCAAAGAAUAAGCACCGGCUAACUUCGUG
rnacentral:rRNA from 1 species